CACGUAGGGCGCAAGCGUUGUCCGGAAUUAUUGGGCGUAAAGAGCUCGUAGGCGGAAUGUCACGUCUGCUGUGAAAAGCUAGGGCUUAACCCUGGCCUUGCAGUGGAUACGGGCGGGCUAGAGUUCGGUAGGGGAGACUGGAAUUCCUGGUGUAGCGGUGAAAUGCGCAGAUAUCAGGAGGAACACCGGUGGCGAAGGCGGGUCUCUGGGCCGAUACUGACGCUGAGGAGCGAAAGCGUGGGGAGCGAACAGG
rnacentral:rRNA from 1 species